GACGAACGCUGGCGGCGUGCUUAACACAUGCAAGUCGAACGAAGUGGCGAACGGGUGAGUAACGCGUAAUCAACCUGCCCUUCAGAGGGGGACAACAGUUGGAAACGACUGCUAAUACCGCAUACUGUAGGAGGGGAUUGCGUUUGAUUUGCUCGUUGGAGGGGUAACGGCCCACCAAGGCGAUGAUCAGUAGGCGGUCUGGGAGGAUGGACGGCCACAUUGGGACUGGGACAACGGCCAGAAUCCUACGGGAGGCAGCAGGGGGGAAAUUUCCGCAAUGGACGAAAGUCUGACGGAGCAACGCCGCGUGAGUGAUGACGGCCUUCGGGUUGGAAAGCUCUGUUAAGCGGGACGCGGUACCGGAAUAGAAAGCCACGGCUAACUACGUGCCAGCCGCCGCGGUAAUUC
rnacentral:rRNA from 1 species